rnacentral:rRNA from 2 species
AGAAGCUUGCUUCUUAUGACGUUAGCGGCGGACGGGUGAGUAACACGUGGGCAACCUGCCCUAUAGUUGGGGAUAACUCCGGGAAACCGGGGCUAAUACCGAAUAAUACAUUCCAUCUCCUGUUGGAAUGUUGAAAGAUGGUUUACGCUAUCGCUAUAGGAUGGGCCCGCGGCGCAUUAGCUAGUUGGUGAGGUAACGGCUCACCAAGGCGACGAUGCGUAGCCGACCUGAGAGGGUGAUCGGCCACACUGGGACUGAGACACGGCCCAGACUCCUACGGGAGGCAGCAGUAGGGAAUCUUCCACAAUGGGCGAAAGCCUGAUGGAGCAACGCCGCGUGAGUGAAGAAGGUUUUCGGAUCGUAAAACUCUGUUGUAAGGGAAGAACAAGUACAGUAGUAACUGGCUGUACCUUGACGGUACCUUAUUAGAAAGCCACGGCUAACUACGUGCCAGCAGCCGCGGUAAUACGUAGGUGGCAAGCGUUGUCCGGAAUUAUUGGGCGUAAAGCGCGCGCAGGUGGUCCUUUAAGUCUGAUGUGAAAGCCCACGGCUCAACCGUGGAGGGUCAUUGGAAACUGGGGGACUUGAGUGCAGAAGAGGAAAGUGGAAUUCCAAGUGUAGCGGUGAAAUGCG